rnacentral:rRNA from 1 species
UACGUAGGGUGCAAGCGUUAAUCGGAAUUACUGGGCGUAAAGUGUGCGCAGGUGGCUUCGCAAGUCGGGUGUGAAAUCCCCGGGCUUAACCUGGGAAUUGCGCUCGAAACUACGGAGCUGGAGUGUGGCAGAGGAAGGUGGAAUUCCACGUGUAGCGGUGAAAUGCGUAGAUAUCUGGAGGAAUACCGGUGGCGAAGGCGGCAUCCUGGACCAUAACUGACGCUGAGGCGCGAAAGCUAGGGGAGCAAACGGG